UAAUACGUAGGGCGCAAGCGUUAUCCGGAAUUAUUGGGCGUAAAGAGCUCGUAGGCGGUUUGUCGCGUCUGCCGUGAAAGUCCGGGGCUCAACUCCGGAUCUGCGGUGGGUACGGGCAGACUAGAGUGAUGUAGGGGAGACUGGAAUUCCUGGUGUAGCGGUGAAAUGCGCAGAUAUCAGGAGGAACACCGAUGGCGAAGGCAGGUCUCUGGGCAUUAACUGACGCUGAGGAGCGAAAGCAUGGGGAGCGAACA
rnacentral:rRNA from 1 species